UACGUAGGGUGCAAGCGUUAAUCGGAAUUACUGGGCGUAAAGCGUGCGCAGGCGGUUUUGUAAGUCUGUCGUGAAAGCCCCGGGCUCAACCUGGGAAUUGCGAUGGAGACUGCAAGGCUUGAAUCUGGCAGAGGGGGGGUAGAAUUCCACGUGUAGCAGUGAAAUGCGUAGAGAUGCGGAGGAACACCGAUGGCGAAGGCAGCCUCCUGGGAUAACACUGACGCUCAUGCACGAAAGCGUGGGGAGCAAACAGG
rnacentral:rRNA from 1 species